rnacentral:rRNA from 1 species
UGGGGAAUAUUGGACAAUGGGCGCAAGCCUGAUCCAGCCAUGCCGCGUGAGUGAUGAAGGCCUUAGGGUUGUAAAGCUCUUUCGACGGGGACGAUAAUGACGGUACCCGUAGAAGAAGCCCCGGCUAACUUCGUGCCAGCAGCCGCGGUAAUACGAAGGGGGCUAGCGUUGUUCGGAAUCACUGGGCGUAAAGCGCACGCAGGCGGAUCGUUAAGUCAGGGGUGAAAUCCCGAGGCUCAACCUCGGAACUGCCUUUGAUACUGGCGAUCUUUGAGUCCGGGAGAGGUGAGUGGAACUCCGAGUGUAGAGGUGAAAUUCGUAGAUAUUCGGAAGAACACCAGUGGCGAAGGCGGCUCACUGGCCCGGUACUGACGCUCAGGUGCGAAAGCGUGGGGAGCAAACAGGAUUAGAUACCCCCGUAGUCC